rnacentral:rRNA from 1 species
AGAGUUUGAUCCUGGCUCAGGAUGAACGCUGGCGGCGUGCCUAAUACAUGCAAGUCGAACGAGGUGCUUUUGUAGCAAUACGAGAGUAUCCUAGUGGCGAACGGGUGAGUAACGCGUUGGUGACCUACCCCAAAGUGUGGGAUAACAGUCCGAAAGGAUUGCUAAUACCGCAUGUGGUCAUUGGAUUUAGAAACUGAUGACUAAAGGAGCAAUUCGCUUUGGGAGGGACCUGCGUCCCAUCAGCUAGUUGGUGAGGUAACGGCUCACCAAGGCGACGACGGGUAGGGGACCUGAGAGGGUGGCCCCCCACAAUGGAACUGAAACACGGUCCAUACACCUACGGGUGGCAGCAGUAGGGAAUAUUGCACAAUGGGCGAAAGCCUGAUGCAGCAACGCCGCGUGUGUGAUGAAGGCCUUCGGGUCGUAAAGCACUUUUCUGGGAGAUGAGAAAGGACAGUAUCCCAGGAAUAAGUCUCGGCUAACUACGUGCCAGCAGCCGCGGUAAAACGUAGGAGGCGAGCGUUAUCCGGAUUCACUGGGCGUAAAGCGCGUGCAGGUGGCGCGGUAAGUUGGGCGUGAAAUCUCCCGGCUCAACUGGGAGAGGUCGUCCAAUACUACCGUGCUUGAGAGCAGAAGAGGAAGAUGGAAUUCCCGGUGUAGUGGUGAAAUGCGUAGAUAUCGGGAGGAACACCAGUGGCGAAGGCGAUCUUCUGGUCUGUUUCUGACACUCAGACGCGACAGCUAGGGUAGUAAACGGGAUUAGAGACCCCGGUAAUCCUAGCCGUAAACGAUGUGAACUUGGCGUUGGUGGGUUAAACUCCAUCAGUGCCGUAGCAAACGCGAUAAGUUCACCGCCUGGGGACUACGGCCGCAAGGUUAAAACUCAAAGGAAUUGACGG